GAAGUCAGAUGCCAUGGGGAAUGUUAACACAAUGUCAGAGAUGUGUUAUACAUGAAGUCAGAAAUGCCAGUGGGAGAGCUACACAUGAAGUUAUAGAUGGCAGAGGGUUUGACAAAUGACCUCAGAAACACAAGGGGGAGUGCUACACACGAAUUCAGAUAUGCUACCAGGUGUGUUAUAAGAAGACAUCAGAUAUGCCAGAGGGUGUGUGAUACAUGAAGUCAGAGACCUCAAGCAGAGUUUGACACACUAUUUCAGAGACACCAUGGGGAAGUGUUACCCAGGGAAUCAGAGAGAUGAGGGUGAGUGUCACACUCAAAGUCAAAGGUGCCAUCAGUACUGUUACACACAGAGUCAGAAACACCAGGUAGAGUGCGACACACGAAGUCAGAGAUGACAAGUUGAUUGGGACAAAAGAAGUCAGAGACAUGAGGGGAAGUGUUACUCACAAAGUCAGAGAUGCCAUGUAGAAUGUUACACACUAAUUGAGAACAAAAGGGAGAGUGAGGCACACGAAAUCUGUGACACCAUGACAGUAUGACAUAUGAAGUAAGAGACAUGAGAGGGAGUGUUACACAAGCACUCAGAGACCCAGUGGGAAUGUUAUAUGAAGUCAGAAAGGCCACAUGGAGUAUUGCACACGAAGUCAGAGACACCAGGGAGACUGUGACACAGAGUCAGAGAUGACAGGGGAAGUGUUACACAUGAAGUCACAGACACCAGAGGGAGUGUUUUACACGAAGUCAGAUGUGCCACGGGGUGUGUUACACACACAGUGAGAGACAACAGAGUGGAGUGUUAUGCACGAAGUCAAAGACGCCAGGAGGAGUUUUACAUAUGAACUCAGUGACUCCAUGCGGUUAUUUACAAAUCAAUUUACAGACACUGGGGGGAGUGUCAUGCACAAAGUCUGAGACGACUGAGGGAGUGUUACACAAGUAGUUAGAGAUGAUAGGGAGAGUAUUACACACAAAGUUAGAGACACAAGCGAGAGAGUUAUACAUGAAUUCAGAUACAAAGGGGGAGUGUGAUGCACAAUGUCAGAGAUGCCACAGGGAUUGUGAUUCACAAAGUCAAAGAUGCCAUGGGUGUGAGUCACACACUAAAUCAGAGACGACAUGGUGAGUGUUACACAUGAAUUCAAAGAUGCCACAGGGAGGGUGAUACAGGACAUCACAGAUGGCAGGCAGAGUGCUACACGAGAAGUCAGAGAUGCCAGGGGAGUGUUACACAGGAAGUCAGAGACACCACGUGUAGUGUGACAGAUGAAGUCAGAGAAGCCAGAAGCCAGGGGCAGUUUGACACCUGAAGUUAUAGACGGCAAAGGGAGUGUGAUGCACAAACUCAGGUACACUAUGGGGUGUGUAACACAGGAAGUCAGAGACUCCACCAGGUGUGUUAGACAUGAAGUCAAAUAUAUCAGGGGGGUGUGAUACACGAAUUUAGAGAUGCCAGGUGGAGUGUGACAAAAGAAGACAAAGAUACCACAGUGGGUGUCAGACACAAAUUCUCCAGAUGGAGUGUUACAAACGAAGUAAAAGACACCAGUGGGAGUGUUACACACGAAGUCUUAGACACCAGAGCAAGGGUGACAAGCGAAGUCAGAAACACAAGGGGUAAAGUUGCACAAGAUGUCAGAGAUACCAGGGAGUGUGUGACACACGAAGUCAGAGAUGCCAAGGAGAGUGUGACACACAAAGUCACUGAUGACAGGGAAGUGUUACAUUGGAAGUCAGAGACGACAGGGCGAGUGUGGCACAUGAAUUCAGAGUCACCGGUGGGACUGUGACACAAGAAGUCAGAGACACCAGGGGGAGUGUUACACAUUAAGUCAGUGAUGGCUGGGGAGUCUUGUGCCUGAAGUCAGAGAUACCAUGUGGGAU
rnacentral:lncRNA from 1 species